UGGGGGAUAUUGCACAAUGGGGGGAACCCGUGAUGCAGCGACGCCGCGUGGGUGAAGAAGCGCCUCGGCGCGUAAAGCCCUAUGGGUUGUAAACCUCUUUUGUCAGGGAGCAACAACAUCUACGAGUAGGUGUUACGAGAGUACCUGAAGAAAAAG
rnacentral:rRNA from 1 species